GACGAACGCUGGCGGCGUGCCUAAUACAUGCAAGUUGAGCGAUGAAGAUUGGUGCUUGCACCAAUUUGAAGAGCAGCGAACGGGUGAGUAACGCGUGGGGAAUCUGCCUUUGAGCGGGGGACAACAUUUGGAAACGAAUGCUAAUACCGCAUAACAACUUUAAACAUAAGUUUUAAGUUUGAAAGAUGCAAUUGCAUCACUCAAAGAUGAUCCCGCGUUGUAUUAGCUAGUUGGUGAGGUAAAGGCUCACCAAGGCGAUGAUACAUAGCCGACCUGAGAGGGUGAUCGGCCACAUUGGGACUGAGACACGGCCCAAACUACUACGGGAGGCAGCAGUAGGGAAUCUUAGGCAAUGGACGAAAGUCUGACCGAGCAACGCCGCGUGAGUGAAGAAGGUUGUCGGAUCGUAAAACUCUGUUGGUAGAGAAGAACGUUGGUGAGAGUGGAAAGCUCAUCAAGUGACGGUAACUACCCAGAAAGGGACGGCUAACUACGUG
rnacentral:rRNA from 1 species